GGGGUGCAACACGAGGACUUCCCAGGAGGUCACCCAUCCUAGUACUACUCUCGCCCAAGCACGCUUAGCUGCGGAGUUCUGAUGGGAUCCGGUGCAUUAGUGCUGCUAUGAUCGCACCC
rnacentral:rRNA from 1 species